GACGAACGCUGGCGGCGUGCUUAACACAUGCAAGUCGAACGAUGAAGCUGGAGCUUGCUCCGGUGGAUUAGUGGCGAACGGGUGAGUAACACGUGAGCAAUCUGCCCUUCACUCUGGGAUAACUGCGGGAAACUGUAGCUAAUACCGGAUACGAGACCUUGGGGCAUCCCAGGGUCUGGAAAGAAUUUCGGUGAAGGAUGAGCUCGCGGCCGAUCAGCUAGUUGGUGAGGUAAUGGCUCACCAAGGCGACGACGGGUAGCCGGCCUGAGAGGGUGACCGGCCACACUGGGACGGAGAGACGGCCCAGACUCCUACGGGAGGCAGCAGUGGGGAAUAUUGCACAAUGGGCGAAAGCCUGAUGCAGCAACGCCGCGUGAGGGAUGAAGGCCUUCGGGUUGUAAACCUCUUUUAGUAGGGAAGAAGCGCAAGUGACGGUACCUACAGAAAAAGCACCGGCUAACUACGUGCCAGCCGCCGCGGUAA
rnacentral:rRNA from 1 species